rnacentral:rRNA from 1 species
GCAUCUAUACUGUGAAACUGCGAAUGGCUCAUUAAAUCAGUUAUCGUUUAUUUGAUAGUACCUUACUACUUGGAUAACCGUGGUAAUUCUAGAGCUAAUACAUGCUAAAAACCCCGACUUCGGAAGGGGUGUAUUUAUUAGAUAAAAAACCAAUGCCCUUCGGGGCUCCUUGGUGAUUCAUGAUAACUUAACGAAUCGCAUGGCCUUGCGCCGGCGAUGGUUCAUUCAAAUUUCUGCCCUAUCAACUUUCGAUGGUAGGAUAGUGGCCUACCAUGGUAUCAACGGGUAACGGGGAAUUAGGGUUCUAUUCCGGAGAGGGAGCCUGAGAAACGGCUACCACAUCCAAGGAAGGCAGCAGGCGCGCAAAUUACCCAAUCCCGACACGGGGAGGUAGUGACAAUAAAUACUGAUACAGGGCUCUUUUGGGUCUUGUAAUUGGAAUGAGUACAAUUUAAAUACCUUAACGAGGAACAAUUGGAGGGCAAGUCUGGUGCCAGCAGCCGCGGUAAUUCCAGCUCCAAUAGCGUAUAUUAAAGUUGUUGCAGUUAAAAAGCUCGUAGUUGAACCUUGGGCCUGGCUGGCCGGUCCGCCUCACCGCGUGUACUGGUCCGGCCGGGCCUUUCCUUCUGGGGAUCCGCAUGCCCUUCACUGGGUGUGUCGGGGAACCAGGACUUUUACUUUGAAAAAAUUAGAGUGUUCAAAGCAGGCCUUUGCUCGAAUACAUUAGCAUGGAAUAAUAGAAUAGGACGUGCGGUCCUAUUUUGUUGGUUUCUAGGACCGCCGUAAUGAUUAAUAGGGAUAGUCGGGGGCAUCAGUAUUCAAUUGUCAGAGGUGAAAUUCUUGGAUUUAUUGAAGACUAACUACUGCGAAAGCAUUUGCCAAGGAUGUUUUCAUUAAUCAGUGAACGAAAGUUAGGGGAUCGAAGACGAUCAGAUACCGUCGUAGUCUUAACCGUAAACUAUGCCGACUAGGGAUCGGGCAAUGUUAUUCUUUUGACUCGCUCGGCACCUUACGAGAAAUCAAAGUCU